GAUGAAGAACGUAGCGAAGUGCGAUAAGUAAUGUGAAUUGCAGAAUUCCGUGAAUCAUCGAAUCUUUGAACGCUAAUUGCACUUUCUGGUAUUCCGGAGAGUAUGCCUGUUUGAGGGUCAGUGUAAUAAAUAAAUCGUGGUUGUUACCACUUUUCGUGGUGACGCUUCGGAAUUGAGUCGUCUUACCCUUCGGGUUAAGUGAUUUAAAAUUUUUUCAUACGAUUUCGAAACGUAUUUAAUGUAUUAUGUACGUUCACGAAUAUCGAAUAUUUAUUAGGUGCGGUCAUUUUCAUGAAUUCGCGUCUAUAAUUUUUUUUUUUUGACCUCAAAUCAGGUAAGAAUACCCGCUGAACUUAAGCAUAUCAAUAAGCGGAGGA
rnacentral:misc_RNA from 1 species